rnacentral:rRNA from 1 species
GACAGAGGGUGCAAACGUUGCUCGGAAUUACUGGGCGUAAAGCGCGUGUAGGCGGACUGGUGUGUCGGAUGUGAAAUCCCCAGGCUCAACCUGGGAACUGCAUUCGAAACUGCCAGCCUUGAGUGGUGGAGAGGGAAGUGGAAUUCCUGGUGUAGAGGUGAAAUUCGUAGAUAUCAGGAGGAACACCUGCGGUGUAGACGGCUUACUGGACCAUAACUGACGCUGAGGCACGAAAGCGUGGGUAGCAAACAGG